AGCAUUAAAGAUUUGCUGGCAAAUAGCAGAGGCAUUUUCUCCCGAGGAAAAAUUGUUAUAUUGAGUAGUCACUUUGCAUGCUUAGGAGUUACAGUCAAAUACCCAAACACUCUGAAUUUGCAGAGCGUUUAUUAUUUUGUAAAGUAUUUAACACACUGUGAAGUGACUCUGCUGCAUAUUUCACAUUCAAGAAGUCAUAAUAAUGGACCUAAGAAAGAAGAUUUUUUUUAUAUUUGACAAUGGCCUAUGAAGAAAAACAGUCUUCUGCAGGAAUCAGGUUUUUCUGCUUCACUUGUGAUAUUUUAGCUGCUGAAGACCAGAAGAAGUUAUUGAAACUGUCAUGCCACAUAAAUGGGAGCACGAGAGGAAAAAAGGCAGUGUCAACAGCUCCCUGAAGAUGGAUCGAAAGAGCAAUGCUGGGAGCAGGAAAGCAAAAAAGUUACGUUCACUUUCAAGAUCCCUCAUCCUCUGCAACUCCAAGAACAGUGAUGAUGGGUCCAGCCCUGAUGAGAAAUGCCCUGAUCCCUUUGAGAUGUCGACCAGCUGGGGUCCAGAGGGAAUUGACAUUUACCCUAGACCCCAACUGCUGUGUGGAUCAGACAUGGAUGGCAACAUGCCUGAGCCUCUGGCACUCUCAAGUGUGGUCCAGUGCAAGGCUGCUGUGAGCAAGAACUGCAAGAACAUGAGAAAACAGUUAUUCAUCAAGGACAGCUCCAUCUGCAGACUUUGCAUAGCUACAGGAAGCGAGGGCUUGGGGAUCCAAGUCUCCAGAAAUCCAAAUUGCACCUCUCCUGGGAAAGUCUUCACUGUCAGCCAAGUGCUUGCUGGAGGCGCUGCCCACAGGGAUGGUCGUCUAAGUCCAGGGGAUGAACUUUUAUCACUAAAUGGACAAUCACUUAAAGACCUUUCCUGCAAAGAGGCUGAAUCUCUCAUUCAGUCAGCAACAGGCUUGGUGACCUUAGUGAUUGCCAACAAGAAUUUACUGAAGGAAGCAAACCAGCAAGAACAAGUAUUUUUUUGUGACUUAGCAAUGGCACCACCUGCUGCUGAAGAGGAAAAUUACCACUCAUUUACUCAUCGUGAUAGGACUUCUCCCAACUCUGCUAAAAUUAGACUUCAAGAAGAAUCCCCAACUGGUGUCUGUAAAGAAAGGCCUUUGGAAACACAGAAUAAUUGUUUUCUGCACUGUAAAGCUACCUGUCAGAGGACUCGCAGUAAUUCAACCAGUGUAAAUCCUUACUGGAUAGGGGAAAUUGACUGUCCAAUGGCCAAGAAAGCAGCAGCAUACAGAGACAGACAGCCCCAUUCUCUUUACUGUAACCAGAAAUCACUCUCUCAACAGCUAGACUGUUCGGCAGGAAGAGCUCCGCCUGUUUCAAGACCUUCUAGAUCACUCAGCAGUGCUCAGUUAAUGCAUGCAUCUUGCAGUUCCCAAGCAUCUGUAAUCUCAAACAUUGUGUUGAUGAAAGGCCAAGGGAAGGGUCUGGGUUUCAGCAUUGUCGGAGGGAAGGACAGUAUUUAUGGACCUAUAGGCAUCUACGUUAAGACUAUCUUUCCAGGUGGAGCUGCUGCUGCUGAUGGGAGGUUACAAGAAGGUGAUGAAAUUCUGGAACUGAAUGGAGAAUCGAUGUAUGGAUUAACGCAUUAUGAUGCUUUACAAAAGUUCAAGCAGGCAAAAAAGGGUCUUCUCACACUUACAGUCAGGACAAGCCUCAGCACACCUCAUUCUGCUUCUAGCUAUCAAUCGUCCCAAUUAUGCCGGUCACUAAGUGCUAGCACAUGCAUAACCAAAGAAAACAGCUCCUUCAGUUCAGAAGGUACAACGUUCUCAUUAAUGACUACAAAACCCAAUGACAGGGUCAUAAUGGAAGUUACCCUCAACAAAGAGCCUGGGGUUGGCCUAGGAAUUGGCUUGUGCAACAUCCCUUACUUCCAGUGUAUUUCGGGGAUAUUUAUCCAUACACUCUCACCGGGGUCCGUGGCUCAUAUGGAUGGGAGACUCAGGUGUGGAGAUGAAAUCCUAGAAAUUAAUGAAGCAGCUGUCCAAAACAUGACACUUAAUGAAGUUUAUGCUGUUCUAAGCCACUGCAGUCCUGGUGCUGUACAGAUUAUUAUUAGCAGACACCCAGAUCCACAGGUCUCUGAACAACAGCUAAAGGAAGCUGUUGCACAAGCCGUGGAGAAUAACCGAUUUGGAAGGGAAAGGCAUCAAUGGAGCACUGAAGGUGUCAAAAGACUAGAAACCAACUGGAAUGGCAGAUACCAGUGUGAAAAAAAUUACAUUGAGAGAAAUGUUACUUAUUGCAACCACAGAUCUCAAAAACUAAUGACCCGUUCCAGCAGUGACAGUAGUUACAACCCCAGGUCAUCUUGCAACAAUGGUACUCCAUACCAGCUGGCUGACUUGAAGGCAAGAGUACAUAGUAUUGAUGUACCAAUUACCAGGCAACCUGGCUUGUUGUGUUCAUCGUCUAGAACCAGCUUGGAGAACCAGUCCCCUCCCACUAGCAACGAAGGAAACCGUCCCUCACAGAGCAUUAAAAAGUCUACAGAGAUUCUUGUUAGAAAACCUAAAUCAUCAAAGCCCAAACCUCCACCAAGGAAGUAUUUCAAACAAGAUUGCACAGACAAUGACCAGAGUAACACAGAUGUGAACAAGAAGCCCGCACCACAAGAUGAUAGGAGUCCACCUUCUACAAAUGUUCAGCAGGAAACAGGAGACCUACUGCUACAGGGAAAUAAAACAGUUAUAACCCACAGCUUCUUUGCAACUCCUCUAGCACCAAGAGACACUGAACAGACAGCUGCAUUUUCAGCAGAUAGAGACCAAGUGAGGAAAGCAAACCCAGGAAAUCCUCUCUCAUCAAUACAAAGGCCUGUACUUAGAAGACAAGCACGGGUAGAUUACGGUCUUGAUACUACAGCGGAAGACCCCUGGGUUAGAAUUUCUGACUGCAUAAAGAGCUUGUUUAAUCCUACCAUGAGUGAAGAUAACAGCCACAUAGACUUGCAAGCCAACAGCAACCCAAAUGAAGAAAGUCAAAACACAGGCUGUCCAGAGGCAGUUCUGCAGAAAUCGGAAACAGAAGCAGCCAGUUCAAAAGAACACAAGUCACCUGAACACGACUCCAUGAAGAAGGGGCCUCCAGUGGCACCCAAGCCAGCCUGGUUUCGCCAAAGUCUAAAAUGUUUGAGGAAGGCACAUUCAGAUACAAAACCACAGGCAGAUCAGAAUUCUGCUGACUCUCAGGGUAUUUCCGGUAUAGGACUGGGUUCUAGUUUAUCCCGGGUCUCACCCAGAGGAUCAUCAAUAAAACAGAGAAUAAGCUCCUUUGAAACUUUGAGUGCUCCUCAGUCCCCUGAAAAAGGAAACAGAAAACUUAGCCCAAACUCAUCAGUGCAAAAAGACAAUUCUCCCUGUACAAAAGAGCCAGAAUCAUCUACAGCUUCUUUAAACAAAGCCACUUUCAGCUACAUGGAAGAUCAAGGAUCUGAAAACAGCCAGUUACAUCCAAAGACUUCUGUGGUUUCAGACACAAAGAGCCUAGAUAGGUGUUGCUCUCCCAAAGAGCCACUUCCCUCUGUCCCAAAGAGAAGCAGCAGCAGCACAGAUAUGGGAGUUGCCUUAGGUUUACUACCAUCACCAGUCACUGAAACUCCAGUAGCAAAAGCACAAAGCCUAAGAACACGGAGCUUCCCACUUACUGCUACCCAAUCUUGUGAGAUGAUAAAGACAAACGAUGAAAAAUAUAGCAACAUCUAUUCCAUCAGUAGCCACGUGUCAUCUGCUUUAAUGAAAUCUUUGCUUUGCCUUCCUCAGUCUCCACUCUAUUGUGGAAACAAUCCAAUGGACACUCUGGCUGGGUCAUCUCAGUCCUCCAUGGAGGAAAAUGGGGCUCCUCUCUCACCCAUGAGUGAGAGUCAUCAUUCAGACACUGGAUUUUCUCUUAACCUCUCUGAGCUGAGAGACUACACAGAGAGUUUAGCAGAUAAUGGAAAAGAGGAAGAGAGACAGGAACACUGUUUACCUCAAGCAUCCGGUAUGUCAGGACAGUCAGUCAUCUCUCUGCUUUCCCCUGAAGAACUGAAGAAACUUAUAGAGGAAGUAAAAUCAUUGGAUGAGGCAACCUUAAAGCAAUUUGAUGAUAUUCAUGUUACAAUCUUGCAUAAAGAAGAAGAUGCUGGUCUUGGAUUCAGCUUGGCAGGAGGAGCUGAUCUAGAAAACAAAGUUAUUACUGUCCACAGAGUGUUUCCUAAUGGACUGGCAUUUCAGGAAGGAACUAUUCAGAAAGGAGAUGAAGUAUUGUCAAUUAAUGGAAAGUCUUUGAAAGGUGUCACACACAAUGAUGCCUUGGCAAUCUUGCGUCAGGCUCGACAACCAAAGCAAGCUGUUGUUGUCACUAGAAAAGCCAAAGAGGGAGAAAAAAGUCUUAAUGUUUCAUUUGAUUCUACUACCUCUUCUAUGGCAAGCGAAGCUUCAACAGAAUCAACAACUGAAGACACAGUCUGCACUGUAACUCUAGAAAAGACAGCUGCUGGUUUAGGAUUCAGCCUGGAAGGAGGGAAGGGCUCCAUCCAUGGAGAUAAACCCAUUGUCAUCAACAGGAUUUUUAAAGGGGUUGCCUCAGAACAAAGCAGCCCUGUUCAGCCUGGUGAUGAGCUAUUGCAAGUGCACACAACUGUCAUGCAGGGACUCACCCGUUUUGAAGCUUGGAAUAUCAUCAAGGCAUUACCCGAUGGGCCUAUCACUGCUAUCAUCAAGCGGAAAAAUCCAAGUCCUGCUGCUGCUAAAUCAGCUGAAAUUUUGCAAGGAGAGGAAUAAAACUGCUGCCAAUAUUAAAAAAAAAAACUAAACAAAAAAAAGUUUCAUUAAUGAAAACUGUUUGCCAGCACAGCACAGAUAUUGUGGAAGUGCGGAUGAUUGCCAGUUACAGAUGUCUUUGGAAUCUCUUGAGCAAAUUUUGCAGUAUGAAGAGAUGUGCAUAAAAAGCUCCCAGUUCUUAUUACAAUAUUCAUAAGCAGCUGUUGCAAAGUGCACAAUGCUUCAACUAUUCAGCAAAGCGCCUCAAGGGAAAAUUAGGAACAACAGUCAAAAACUCCUAGAAGGCUCCAGACUGGCUAUAAGGAAAAACUUCUUCAUGGUUCAUGUGAUCAGACUCUGGAAUGGACUCAGGCACCUGCCCUGGAGAUCUUCAAAAGGAGACUGGAUGCACACCUUGCUGGGCUUAUUUAACCCCAGCAGUCUUUCCCACCCAGAGCAGGGGGGCUGGACCUGAUGAUCUCACAAGGCCCCUUCCUGCCCUAAACUUCUGUGAAUAUAAUUGGAGUUCUAAGCAAAUGUCAUUCCACUGUGCAAAUAUAGCAUAUCUAGGAUUUUUAACCCACUCAUCUGUACGUAUGCCAGAGGAAAUACAGGAAUAAAUGGCCAUUUUAGCAUC